CCAUCAUUCACGUUUCCCCCUCAUUCAUCAACAACCAUGAAUCCUUCUCCACCACUACACUAAACCCCAGAGGUCAGAACAAAGCUCCUCCACCGUCCUCACUUUCGGUCGCUCCGCCGCCGUAUCUCCGGUCACCGCUCGUCGUGCAAUCUCUGCCCAGCCACCAAUCGCUUCGCCCCAUAGCUCCGACAUGCCUCUAUUGUUGGUUGUUCAUCUCCCCUUUCUUUAAUCGCUCCUUCUCUCUCACUCUGUUUGCCUUUUUUGCUGGUUGUACUUGUGGGAUCUAUAUGUAUCACUGCUAUGAAUGCUAUCUGUCUUGCUGUGGGAUGAACAGAGAAGUAGGAUGUGGUUGGAACUAGAUAUAUGUUACCAUAUAUCCCCUGUCGUUAAGAGGUCCUCACUCCAAUCCUCGGAUUUUUGCAACAGUUUCAUGUGGGAGAGUUAUCUUAACCUUUGUGCAAUAUUCAACUCUAUGGCUGUGGCAAGACGUUUCUUACAGUGUUUUGGUGAAGAUGAUCUGCACUCUUCCUUCCAUUGCAGCACCAUCUCUGUCAACCUUCUCCCUUAAUUUGAGGAAUUUGGAUAUUGGGUAUUUACACAUUUGGAAAAUUUGGAUACCAAUCCAAGUUUAGUGGUGUUGUAUUAUGCAUAAACUAGGUACACCUUUCCCUUGGAAUCACUAUUCCUAAGAAAGGUUUCAAUCCUGGCCAUUGAUUUCAAUUGGUUUGUAUAUUAUCAUUCAAUCUUGACCUUUGGUAUAUAACAUAUUGUUGGCCCCACCCUUACAUUUCUCUCACGUUUCUCUUUUUCUCUUUCCCCUUCUUUGUGGUAUUUUUCUUUUCUUCGAUGACGAAUUCUCUCCCCUUCUGACCUAAGUGCGUCUUUCUUUCCCCUUUUUCUUCUUCCAUGACCUAAUCGCAUGCAUCGAUCAUGUUUCUGCUGAAGGAGUACAGUGUGCUGCAGUCGUUUUGCUCUCCAAUUUUUGUACUUUUGAUGAUCUCACCUUCUGCGUUGGAGAAGUUUUGGUGGAAGGUGAAGACUGUGGGCAUUGGUUUGAUUUCGACAGAGAUCGUCACAUUUAGCAGGCUCUCUCACUGUAUAUUCUCUAAUGUGUGGGAGCAGUUGGUGUCAAUUGUAGUUGUUGCAGUUUCAAUGAAGAAGGUUAGUUUCUUUGAUUAGGGUUGUACAGUGUUAUGAUUGAUGCAAUUGAUUUAAGAUUUCGUGUGAUUUUAAUUUUUGUUGUUGAAUUGUUGAAUCCAUGCUGUUUUACUUGAUCAAAAUGAGAAGGGUGACAUUUUUUGUUGAAGUUGAACUUUGAUUUGAUUUGUUACUCUCUUUUGUCUGUAGAAGAGAAGAAUUAAUAGCAAUGUUUGUCAGGUCACUGUUUUGAUGUCAGCUUAGUACAAGAGGUUUGGUUUUGGCAGUGUUCCAGGCCCAACAAUUUACUUGCUAGCAUCCUUCAGUUUAAUUAAUUUGAAAUUGAAAUUUGUAAUGACCUACCUGUCUCACUUUGUAUCCGUCUAUAAAUACUGGUGUAUUGUGGUCUCUUUGUUGCUCUUGCUCAUAUCCUGGUUUGAUUUUGAUAUUGCUAUUGCUUCAUUGCUACCUAUCUUCAUAUCUGAUAUUUGAUAUUUGUCUUGUGCCUUAAUCUCAAUCAUGGCCUUUACUGCUGGUCCGUUCAACCCUCUGAGUUGCUUAUUUCCUGGAAAAGACACAUGGAAAAUUAAGAUUUUUUACUAGGAAGUCAGCUAUGCACGUGUUUCACUGCUCUGUUGUAUGGGAAGUUUAAAUCAAUUGCAGAAUUAGUUUUCGUUCCAGUCCAAGCUUUUUGAUUUAGGGUGCCAUCUGCUCUCCUUUAAUGACAAGGUGACAACGAGAAGGAGUAGAAUAGAUUGUUGAAGGAGAUUGGGGAAGUGCUCACUGUUUGUUGUCAAGAGUAGAGCAAAAUCAGAAGCUAAAGACGUCAUUUUCUUCGUCAGCUGAAGCUUUCCCUAAUGUCAGAAUAUGAGUGAAGAAGAAAUAGGCGAAGGAAGAUUGUCCACAAAAAUGGAUGUCUUUCCAAUCGUGAAAGGAGCAAAUGGAGGACUGGAAGAAACAGCAAAGUAAAAAAGUUGUGGGAAUUUACUAAUUGUCUUAUGAAAGUGGGUGCUAGACUUCGCCAUACAGCUUGUAGAAACGGGAAUAGAAAAUGAUGCUCUCUUGGCAUUGAUCAUUUUAUCUUUUCAGUUUGUCCUGGUCAAUCAUGAGUAUUACAAUGGUGUUGCAUGGAAGGAAUAGAUGGAGGAUUGGAAGAAAAAACAAAGUGUUGCAACCCUUUGCUGCUUCACUAUUCUAUAAGGGAACAUCGCAACCAUGUUUUCUUCCUCGCAUGUUUUGUGUUUGUCCUCUUAUGUUUGGGUGCUUUUGUCUGUUUUUUUUUUCAAUUUCUGCGAAAUUGACCCUUUUUUAGUUAAUCUUUUCAAUUUCUUACCAUUUACAAUAAUUUUCUCUUUUAGAACUCCUUUUGUUUCCGUUUUUCCACAAUCUGGAAGAGGGUUUAGUAAAUAGUAUGAUUGCGUUCUAGACCCAUUUGAAGACAAGUUACAAGUAAUGCUGAUCUCAUGUUAGACUUUCAUGUUCAAGAAGACUUCGACAUCACCACAAGGUUUUGGAGCAUCAUGUAGGGUUGAUUUUGGGAGAGAAGCUUGGAAAUUUGGUGUACCAGACACGAAUACUUAGGGACUGCAAUGGUUGUGCAGCAGUCCUAGACUCCACCUCAUUAUGCAGAGUUGCAGUAGUUCUGCUUUGGUAAGGUUCAUCAGUGUUGGACUGUAAAGGUGAGCAGUUCCUUCACUGGCCGCGAGGGAGUGGAGGCUCAGUCUGAGCAAAAGGUUGCAAGAAGCACCGUAGGAAGAAAAGCGGAUUUUAAAAUGAGGUUUGGUUUCUUCAUAGGCUUGAUUGAGAAAAUUCUAUCUGGGAAUGUGUCAUCUCUGCCUUCUCGACUUAAGGCUUAGUGAAAAAGAAGUAGCAGUUGAGGACACAACUCAAUGAGCCUCACUGCUGCUUAAGAAUUUUAAAUUUGGAAUUUCCCUCUUUGCAUUCUACAGCUAUAGAUGCACCUUUACACAAAUAUUGGGCAUAAACCAUAUAAGCCUCAGAAUUCUGACAAUAACUUAAGGAUAUGAAGUGGAACCACUGCAAGAAAUGGAUCUGAAGUGAAGUGGCUUCCCAUGGAGAAAUCCUGUUGAAAACAUGUGCCACAGUACACAGUUCCAACCACCACAACUGAAGGAAGAAGGUCGUUGCUGUCAAGGCUAGCUUCUAGAAGACUACCACGAGUGAGACUGAAACAAAAUUACCAGGAACCAAGACAUUCUAAGUAUUUCCCGUGACUGUGAGAUGUCCUUUAGACUUGGAUGCGAGAUUGAUGAGGAGCCACCUGAUAAGCUAGAAGUUUUUCAGAGCUAAGGUUGAACCCUUCUUGGCCAGAGACAUGGAGACAUCUAUUAACAACACUACAAAGGAAGGGAGAUCAAUUUUCUCUACUGUUGAUACAUUGAUACACUAUACCCCUCUUCCUGUAGUUUUGCUGCCUUCCGGUCCGUUAACUGGCUAAAAGAAACCAAUUAUGCCAUCUUCUCAAGAUGAAUGCUCCAAUGUGGUGAACUGUUUAUGCUUUGUCUGAAAGACUUCUAAAGUAGAUUAAUAGAUCCCAAAGUAUAAUUUCAGCGGUGUUAGCUUGGCAUGGGCUCAAGAUGCAAGUUCAUUAUUUUACACUAUGUUAGAUGAAAGCAGUGGCCUAACAGUAUUUACAGAAAGUGAUUCCAAUUAUUGCGUGGAAAUAACAAGCACAAAAGAUGGCAAGUUCACAACUGUUAACUUGAACUUAAGGACUUCAUUGGAGGAAGGAAGUAGACAAAAUGAAAAGGCCAACUCUUUUUUGUGGGUUUGUGAGUGUGUCACCAUUUUGCUGAGAAAAAUUGGUGUGAGUGCUGCAUCAGAGGGAGAAUUGGGAUAUUUGAAUAAAGGUGCCCCUUGGAGCAGUUGCUACCAGUUUUAUGUACUUAUCAUUUACGUUUCUUUGUUUCUGGUUGGAUAAUGUUAUUCACCAAUCACAUGUACCUUAAGGGUUAGAAGUGGUUAGGUUACAUUCUAUAUGAAUACUUGAUUCAUUUUCUAUAUAUUUCUGCAUUCCAUGGAUUUUGUAA